AGUUCAAUUGCUGGGUCAUAGGGUAAUUAAUUUUUUGAGGAACCUCCAAACUGUUUUCCAGAGUGGCUGUACCAGUUUGCAUUCCCACCAGCAGU
rnacentral:pre_miRNA from 1 species